rfam:Lupinus angustifolius cultivar Tanjil chromosome LG08, whole genome shotgun sequence.
AAUGGCCGGGACAAAGGAUUGUGAUCUCGCGAGGGUAAGCUAACUCCAAAAACCUGUCCUCAGUUCGGAUUGUAGGUUGCAACUCGCCUGCAUGAAG